rnacentral:rRNA from 1 species
ACCUGACUGCUAUCGGAUUGAUACUAAGCCAUGCGAGUCAUUGUAGCAAUACAAGGCAUACGGCUCAGUAACGCGUAGUCAACCUAACCUAUGGACGGGAAUAACCUCGGGAAACUGAGAAUAAUGCCCGAUAGAACAUUAUGCCUGGAAUGGUUUAUGUUCCAAAUGAUUUAUCGCCAUAGGAUGGGACUGCGGCCUAUCAGUUUGUUGGUGAGGUAAUGGCCCACCAAGACUAUUACAGGUACGGGCUCUGAGAGGAGUAGCCCGGAGAUGGGUACUGAGACACGGACCCAGGCCCUAUGGGGCGCAGCAGGCGAGAAAACUUUGCAAUGUGCGAAAGCACGACAAGGUUAAUCCGAGUGAUUUCUGCUAAAGAGAUCUUUUGUUAGUCCUAGAAACACUAACGAAUAAGGGGUGGGCAAGUUCUGGUGUCAGCCGCCGCGGUAAAACCAGCACCUCAAGUGGUCAGGAUGAUUAUUGGGCCUAAAGCAUCCGUAGCCGGCUCUGUAAGUUUUCGGUUAAAUCUGUACGCUCAACGUACAGGCUGCCGGGAAUACUGCAGAACUAGGGAGUGGGAGAGGUAGACGGUACUCGGUAGGAAGUGGUAAAAUGCUUUGAUCUAUCGAUGACCACCUGUGGCGAAGGCGGUCUACCAGAACACGUCCGACGGUGAGGGAUGAAAGCUGGGGGAGCAAACCGGAUUAGAUACCCGGGUAGUCCCAGCUGUAAACUAUGCAAACUCAGUGAUGCAUUGGCUUGUGGCCAAUGCAGUGCUGCAGGGAAGCCGUUAAGUUUGCCGCCUGGGAAGUACGUACGCAAGUAUGAAACUUGAAGGAAUUGGCGGGGGAGCACCACAAGGGGUGAAGCCUGCGGUUC